GGUUUCUCAACUAUGCGAGUCCAUCACCAACUUCUUCAACGGUGGCGACCACAUUCCUUGGUCCACUCCUGACGCGAUUCUCGUAAGGAUCUCUGUUUUUUCAUUGUACCAAAUUUGAUACGAUAAGAAUAAUGACCAAGAAAUAGAAAUUUUCUUCUUGGGCUUUGACAAGAUUGGUUGGGGAUUAUUUUUUUCCGUUUUGCCUUGAUAUGGGUUUUCAAUACCUGGUCUAAAAAUCGAAAUUUCUUGGGUAAGUUGAUAUUUAAUUUAAAGGCUUUUGUAGUUUAGUAUUUUCAGUUUUGAUGGGUUUAAAGUAUUAAAGAUAGAUUUGGUUGAAUGAGAUUGAUAUUUGGUUACUUCAGAUAUUAUAGUUCUGUUAAUUUUUAAAUGGUUUUUAGGUUUGAGUUCUGAAGAAUUUGAGAUGUCUUCAAGCACUGCAUUCUAAGUUUGUUAAUGGCAGGCAAAUCUUUGAUGGUGUAAAGGUUCCAAUUUGAGGCUCUAGACUUGAGGUGAUCCUUUUUAUUUAGUGUGACUGUUUGAGAUAGUAUUUAAAGGUGUUGGGCAGUGCUUUUUGGAAGGUAUUUGAGGGCUUGUGUGAAUCUCGUCUAGUUCUUAGAUGAUUUUUGAGGAUUGCGUGUAUCUAAACUCCCAAGGGCUGGCGGACUGGAUGAUUUGAAUCGACAACAACAAACUAAGUCCUAUCUGCUGGGGGCAAAAGUUGAGAUUUUCAGGGAAGAAUGAAAGUGGACUUGUACUGAUUGCCAUGAUCCUCCACAUGCAUACAAGUGUGCAAGGUUCAUAUUUUCUACAGGAGGCAUCCAAUGAAUUAAAAGUCAUAAUGUAUGUGUCCAUUGAUUAAAUUUUUUUGUGGGAGUCGGCCCCCUUUUUUUCACCUUUUUUUGAAAUGGUGGUGUUAGUUUUGAGUUAUUAUUUCAUGACGAAUGCCAACCUAGACUUCUUAAAUGCCGGCAUGUGUUUUUCAUUCUUGAAUGUAUACUUGGGAAGUUCUUUGAUCUUGCACGUUGCACCAACAAGAGUGUUCUUUGGACAUGACGUCCAGAGCUGUAGGCCGGUUGUAGUUUAUCAGAUAGUAUUCAUAUAGGUUAAUGAGCUAAGGUGAUUGUGGAUCAAAUAUGUUAAGCACUGUGUCUGUCUUCACAGCUGAUAAUUAGUUAAUUAUAUUUAUAAGAUAAUACUUUUGUACUUGCGAAAUUCAGAGGUCAAUGUUCACUGUUUUUUGCUGAACGAAACUUCUAGAUAUCUUGAAAUAUACUCUCGAUUGCUAGAGCUACUUAGUUGGAAUGUAUUCUAAAGAUUAUUUUAGAUGAUAUGAUGGUCUCUGGAAUCUGGAUAUUAGAUUAAAUCUAAUUUACCGAUAUAAGAGCCUAAAUCAAUGGGUUAACGCCCACAUCUUAACAACAUAAUCAGUAAAACAAACCUGGGAUCAUUGCUAAAGGACCAGAAUGCCUGGGAUGAAGGUUUCUCCUCCUCAGAGUAGUCCAAGCUAGUGCAUUCUAACAUUGAUUCAAGAGUGUUGAAUAUUUGAGCUAUCAAAACACAUUAGAGGUUUGGCAUAUUAUUCAGGUUAUUCUUGAUCUACCAAUUGAACCUUUCAUAAUGUAACAUGUGUGUUAGAUUCUCUCUCUUUUUAACCUAUAGCCAGAGACGGAUCCAGGAAAUAAGGAUACAAGGGCUGAAAUCUAAGAAAGUCUCCCCUUCACUUCACUAUUUAACCACGCUCCCAAACUUAAAUAUUGGACAAGUAUUAACUAGUUUUUCAUAGAGAGUUCUAAAUACAGCCAAACAAGGUUGUUCAAGAGUUUAAUUUCAAAUCCUGAAGAAAAAGAAUGCAAUUUCAUCCAUUAUUUGACGUUUGUCCUUAGAUCAUCUCAAUACAAAAAUGAAUAACAUACUCAUCACGACCCCCUGUACAUUACAAUUUAGGCAGAAUGUAGUUUCUCUAAUUAUCUAUAUUUGUUCCUAGGUCAUCUUAAUACAAAAAUGAAUAUUCUACCCUUUAAAAAUUGGACCUUUUCCCCUCUUUCCCAAUUCACAAAAUGAUAAGACUCCAAAGGCAUCAAAGAUUCAAAAUUCCAUAGACAGUCCUACCAUUUCACCGGUUAACUCAUCUCAAUGAACGUCAUUCACGCAUUUUUCCAGUUCAGCUAUGGAUUAAUUAAAUUUUAGUUAAUAUAAAUUAAGCCAAAGUACAAAGAUCAAUUUGAAAUAGAUCAAAUACUAUCCAAACAUGUCAUUAGUUAGCUUUAUCUUUCCACUACGCCAGAAACAUAAAUCAAAAGGAAUUUAAAAUUCUGGAAUCAUAAUUCAGAAACAAUCAUAUACUAGAAUUUAGUUCGGCUGUUAUAUCAAAAGGAUAUAUAAUAUAUGAAUAACAAAAUCAGUAGAAGUCACAUCUUUAACAACCCUAUCUUAGAAAAUAACACUCACAUAUAGUUCAAUAGCCACAUAUCAUUUGCAACCUUUAAAAAUUGGCCAUUUUCCCCUCUUUUUAAAUUUGCAAAAUGACUCGCCUCUAAAUGCAUAAAAAAAUUCAAAACCACAUUCACCACCAAAAAACAUAAAAACAAUGGAUAAAAAAUAAAUCUUACACAUUCACUGCCUAAUUAAUAAUAAAUGCAACCUUUAAAAAUUGGCUAUUUUCCCUUCUUUUUAAGAUUUAUUCCUUUGAAAGAGAUCCCAGGUGCAGUGCCUAUUCAAUCUGAAUCGGAUCUUGCAGUUUCAGACCGGUCCUUUAGGUUAUUCACCACCAUAUUAAAUAAAUGCAACCAAAUUAAAGCAUCAAAAUGAACUAAAAAUAAUAAUAAAGAAAAAGAAUACAGUUGCUCACAAGUCAUAGACAUGGACUGGGAUGGUGACGGGUGACGAUGUGACACUCACAAACUAAAACUCAGAGGCGGUAGUCGACGGUCACAUUCACAAGACUCACAAUCACAACACAAAAGAGUCUGAAAUUUGGAAAUGGAAAAAUUUCGUGAUUUAGCCUCUGAUUGACUAUGGAUUAGAAUGGGUAUUUGGAUUUUGGACAAUGGGCCUAAUUGCAAAAUCCUAAUGUUUAAAAAAGGGAUUGCCCAAACUAAAAGCCCACUACAAAAAAGUCCUAAACCAAACAUUCAUUUCAUUUCCUUCACAGCUUCACCUUCCCUUGCAUUUCAAUCUUCACAUUCUGCCGGUGCCAAUCACCAUGGACGGAAUUCAAGGUUCAACAAAGCCAGCACGAGCAACCACGCCCACUUGCCGGGUGCAAGCUCCAUCCCUACUCACCAAUUAUUAAAGCUUCGUCACUACGCCUCCAACAAGAUGAGGUUUUGAGGGACGAGGCUUGACCAUAAUGACUUUGCAUGGGAAGAGCAUUUGGAAUGACGUAGUAUUGACCAUCUUACACUAAAGGCAACCUUUAAAAACUGGCCAUUUUCCCCCUAGCACCUCAAUGUGUUUUGCUCACAUAGUUGUAAACUUGUGACAAUUUUUUGUCAUUGAGAUAGAGCUGUAGGGAUGAUUGCUUUUGAUUUAACCCAUUGUGGAAUAUUUGUUAGCUCAGUAUUAUUAGCUUGUCAUGAAUAUGGAUAGAUAUCUUUCAUUUACCUUGUGUUUCCCAAAGGCAAGUAGUUGAAGACAGUGAUGUUGUCAUAUUAUUUGUCAAGACUCAAGUUGGUAUUGUUCUAGCUUAUCUCCAUUUCCCAUGUUCACUUAUUUUGUUUGGUACCUUCCUGUGAGUUUUAUUUGUCUUAGUUUCUGGAUACUUUCAAUCUAUCAAGGUGCUACAAGGAGAUUAAAUAAGUGUGUAGGUUCUUUAUUCUUAUUCUUCAGUUGUGCUAUUGAAAUGUAAAAUGACUAAAUUUACAAGUAACAUGAAUUUUUCGCAAUCAUUAUAUUCAAAUAAAUGUAUCUGGUCUCUAACCUCAUUUUUCUUUAUCUUUCCACUUUGCACAGGGGCUGUGGAGGGAGGAGCACAAUCUGUUAUUUUUAUGAUAAUAAACGUAUCUCUUUUUUAGGGUUGUUGCCCACAAUCAUCAUAUGUGGUUUUUCAAAAAAUUAGGCUAUUUUCAAAGCUUAAAUAAGCGACUAACAACUCCUAUGAAGAUUUUAAAAGUUGGCAACAUUUAUUUCAAUCAGUCCUUUUAGAGUUAAUGGUUGCUUGAAUGCUAUAUAUGUAAAACACUCAGUAAACAUGUGGAAAAUUAUGUUGGACACACUAGAACUAAAAUACUUCAAUCUGUGGAUAGUGGAUACUGUGGUUUACUUGAAUUAAUUGCUGAGCAUCCAGGAUAGAAACACAUUUGUCCAUGCUCAUCGUAAAAUUCAAAAUAAUCUAUUGAGAAAAAUCUAGCAGAUCUUUGUUGGCUUCUGGUUCCUUUUCCAUCUUUUUCGUAAUUUGUUCACUGAACAUUUUAGAAGAAGAUGUCUUAGAUGUUGCUUUGAAUACUAAGCUAUUCUCUUGAUGCGUAACAUAUUUACAGAUAAAGGCGAGGUACUGCAGUUGAGGUCACUCCUUUCGGAGAAGCAGCUUUUGGUGUCAGUUGUUGUUGGAGUUAAACUAAAAGAUUUGCAGGUUUGUCACGGGCGGAUCCAAAAAAUCAUGUUGGGGUGGGGGGUGGGGGCUGAAAUUUAAAAUAUAUGUGCACAAAUUUUUAUAAAGUAUACAACAUAAAAUUUCAUUACGACAUUACCUACUAAAGUUGUGUCCGUCGAGCUUUAACUGCAUAAAACUCGUCUAUAAUAGAAUCUACUUACAAAACAAUUAUUCUAAAACUAAUCAAAAUUGAUACCAUAAAUAACCUAACCGGGUAACCCAUUAGAUAUGAAUCUCAAUCUCAAUUCUCAAACUGAAUAAUGAAAACAAUAAUGCGUAAAAGCAAUAAGAGAGUGAUAUGUCAUUUCAACAAACACCUUGUCUACAAGUGUAAGGAAGAGAUGCACGAGUCUAAAUAAAUUGAAUUUCAAAACUUUUUGUGUCUUACCACCCAAAAAUGCAAGUAAAUAAAAAUUCUGCUGAGUUUAAUAAUUAGAUUUUAGCCUGUAAGAAUUCGAAAAGCUCUCUUUCAAAAACUCCAAAAUUCAAAAAUCAGCAUAUAAUCUUGGCCUGUUAGUAUACAAUUUUACACUUUUACUUUGCCUUGUUCCCACAAUUGACAAUCACAAUCCCACUAAUUUAAUAAUUAUUACCCAAAAUCUAGUCUUCUAUAUCCAUUUCCUGAUUUUCAUUCAGUCGACAACUCAACACUAGUUUGGGAAAAUCCGAAAAUGUUCCUAUUGUGACUUAUUCAAUGAAAAAGAAUCCAAAUAGAAAUGACAAUACCUAUUACCUCAGAACGUG
rnacentral:lncRNA from 1 species